CCUACGGGAGGCAGCAGUGAGGCAUAUUGGUCAAUGGACGAGAGUCUGAACCAGCCAAGUAGCGUGAAGGAUGACUGCCCUAUGGGUUGUAAACUUCUUUUAUAUGGGACUAAAAUGUUCCACGUGUGGGCUUUUGUAUGUACCAUAUGAAUAAGGAUCGGCUAACUCCGUGCCAGCAGCCGCGGUAAUACGGAGGAUCCGAGCGUUAUCCGGAUUUAUUGGGUUUAAAGGGAGCGUAGGUGGAUUGUUAAGUCAGUUGUGAAAGUUUGCGGCUCAACCGUAAAAUUGCAGUUGAAACUGGCAGUCUUGAGUACAGUAGAGGUGUGCGGAAUUCGUGGUGUAGCGGUGAAAUGCUUAGAUAUCACGAAGAACUCCGAUUGCGAAGGCAGCUCACUGGACUGCAACUGACACUGAGGCUCGAAAGUGUGGGUAUCAAACAGGAUUAGAUACCCGGGUAGUC
rnacentral:rRNA from 1 species